UGAUUUUUCGUUUAGGCUGAUUGUGUGGACGAAUAUGGACCAUCCAUCGCGAUCAACCCCAUUCGUCCGAUCGCACCUGAAGAGGAAAUGUAUUUGGGCCAUCCGUGCGCACGAGAUAUGAUCUAGACCGUCGGAUCGCAUACAUGGUGCCAAUGUCAGCGUAUUUGCCACGCAGCGUGCUCUGGUUCGUUAUGACUGCUGACUGGACUGUUUCACGU
rnacentral:lncRNA from 1 species